rnacentral:rRNA from 1 species
AUUGAACGCUGGCGGCAUGCUUUACACAUGCAAGUCGAACGGUAACAGGUUAAGCUGACGAGUGGCGAACGGGUGAGUAAUGCAUCGGAACGUGCCCGGUCGUGGGGGAUAACGCAGCGAAAGCUGCGCUAAUACCGCAUACGAUCUGAGGAUGAAAGCGGGGGACCGUAAGGCCUCGCGCUAUCGGAUGAGCCUAGGUCGGAUUAGCUAGUUGGUGGGGUAAAGGCUCACCAAGGCGACGAUCCGUAACUGGUCUGAGAGGAUGAUCAGUCACACUGGAACUGAGACACGGUCCAGACUCCUACGGGAGGCAGCAGUGGGGAAUAUUGGACAAUGGGCGAAAGCCUGAUCCAGCCAUGCCGCGUGUGUGAAGAAGGUCUUCGGAUUGUAAAGCACUUUAAGUCGGGAGGAAGGGCUGCAGGUUAAUACCUUGCAGUCUUGACGUUACCGACAGAAUAAGCACCGGCUAACUUCGUGCCAGCCGCCGCCGUAA